CAAAGGCAUGGUCCCGACCUUAUUAUCAGCUCUAACUCAACUUACACAUGCAAGUCUCCGCACCCCAGUGAAUAUGCCCUCAAUCCCCCUACCCGGGGACGAGGAGCGGGCAUCAGGCACAAAUAUUAGCCCAAGACGCCUAGCCGAGCCACACCCCCAAGGGAAUUCAGCAGUGAUAAACAUUAAGCCAUAAGUGAAAACUUGACUCAGUUAGUGUUAAGAGGGCCGGUAAAACUCGUGCCAGCCACCGCGGUUAGACGAGAGGCCCUAGUUGAUAUUACAACGGCGUAAAGGGUGGUUAAGGAUAAAUAAAAAUAAAGUCAAAUGGCCCCUUGGCCGUCAUACGCUUCUAGGCGUCCGAAGCCCUAAUACGAAAGUAACUUUAAUGAACCCACC
rnacentral:rRNA from 1 species